GUUGGCUGAGUGGUGAAGAACAGGCUUUAGGAUUGAAAAUCCGCGUGUCGGUGGUUCGAAUCCGCCUCCGGGCACCA
rnacentral:tRNA from 1 species